GGAGAUCGCGCCAGGAGCCGCCGCUGUGAUGUCUUGCCGGCGGUGAUGUUCGGGUGAGCGGCGGUACACGGCUGGAUCCAUCGGAGGUGACACCAUGGCGCCAUGGCAACACUGACGCCAACGGCAGAAAUAGCUUACCCUUCCCUCUAGAGGCAGAGCAGAAGCAGAGGCCCAAUAAGCAGUAGAGGGGCGGAGCCUGCCUGACAGUUGCUGAUCAGAGGAGGAGUCGGGGGAGCACUCAGAGCAGUACCGUUGUGCUGUGGAUAUUUUCUUGGCUGCUGAGAGUGAUGUGAAGCACUGGGUUGUCUCCAGAUGAUUAGUAGCUGCAAACAAUUAAAUGAUCAAAAGAUAAAGCAGGGAAGUCUUUAUAAGAUGUUGUAAAAACAAAAGACUGAGAUUACAUUGCUUUAAGGUAAUCUCAACAAUUAAACUGAACAGUGUCUAAAUUGCAAUAAUAAACGGUGUCUUUAACAGUGUCAAUCCAUUACCAACAAGUGGGAAUCAUUGUUUUACAACUCUCUUCUUUCUUAUUCCUUUUUUACCAUCUUCAGCCUAAAUGCACACCGGUUUUAUAGGACUGACUAUCUAUCUAUCUAUCUA